GUGAUCUCAUACAACAUGUGUCAUACUUAUAGUUAAAUUAAUGAAAGGUAUGAUACUUUUGUGGACAUUGGGGGGUCGUGAAGAUUCUAUCAGUGAGUAUUUGUUCUCGGAAGGGCCAUAUAUGAAUAUUGAAUAAUCGGACAUAGUACGAUAAGGUUGUAUGUCUAAAGGGAAACAGCCCAGAACAAGAGUUAAUAAGGUUCCAAAAUUAUUGUUAAGUGAAAUUAAGGUAGUAUUUAUCCCAAACGGCCAGUAAAUAGGCUUAGAAGCGGCCACUUUUUGAAGAUCUCGUAACAGAGCACUGGUUUUACUUACAUAGACAUCUUGUAUAAAAACAAGGAUAAAAGCACUGAAAAUUUAACGGAUCUAAACAAUAUACCGAUACCUUGUCUAUACAUAUAGAUAUAUGUUAUCUAUAUAGAUAUAUGUAUGGGGUAGCAGAACGUUGGGUAAAUUACUCAGCUCUAGGUCUCUUUGAGGUACUAGAGCAUAUGAAUUUUAACCGGGUUGUAUUAAAAAAUCCCAAGUGAUAAUGCUGACAUGAGUAACGAUAAAGGGAGAAAACUAAUGCUAAUGCGGUAUCCCUUCGCCUUAAGCUUAUGGUAUUUAUUAAAGUCACGGCCUCUAAGUUUUACCAUAUCUUAUUAUUACUAAGUAAGAAUAGACAUUUUGUCUAUGAAUGAAUGUGUUAGUUAAUUAAUAGAUAAAAAAUGUCUAUUGAUUAAUAAGCAAAUACUCAAAAGUAAAAAAUAUAUUUAAAUGGGUAUACAUAGAUAAAAUGAACUAUAAUAAGAUAUAAUCCAAAAGGUAUGAACGAUGAGCAAAUCUAUAGUUUACAGAAUACAACAUAUUAAAUUUAUAUACUAAUUAUAAUAAUUUUUUUUUUGUUGAUUCAUAAAGUUAUAAUUAACGUUAUAAAGUGACAGUUAAAUAUGUUCUGGAAAACUGUAAACAAGUGGUGUGAGCAAUUUCUUAUGGCAUAAACAAACUAAAUAGAUGAUAUAGCUCAUAUUGUUCAACAAUAUGUGUUGCUCUAGCACUACUCAUUACCGUACCUAAAUACUACCACAA
rnacentral:rRNA from 1 species